ACAGAAGGCAAAGAAAAGAUUACUAGAGAUUUGUCUCUCGUGGUGGCUUACGUGUGUAAGUUGCACUCAAAGAAAGGGAACUUUAUGGCACUGAAAGCUAAAGAGAUGGGCCUGCCGGUAGGAACAGCAGCCAUUGGGCCCAUAAUCGAAGCUCUGAAAGCUGGAAAAAGUGUGAC